rnacentral:tRNA from 1 species
AGUGUAGCUCAACUGGCAGAGCACCGGUCUCCAAAACCGGGGGUUGAGGGUUCAAGUCCUUCCACUC